rnacentral:rRNA from 1 species
CCUACGGGAGGCAGCAGUAGGGAAUCUUCCACAAUGGGCGAAAGCCUGAUGGAGCAACGCCGCGUGGGUGAAGAAGGUCUUCGGAUCGUAAAACCCUGUUGUUAGAGAAGAAAGUGCGUGAGAGUAACUGUUCACGUUUCGACGGUAUCUAACCAGAAAGCCACGGCUAACUACGUGCCCGCAGCCGCGGUAAUACGUAGGUGGCAAGCGUUAUCCGGAUUGAUUGGGCGUAAAGGGAACGGGAGGAGUCUUUUAAGUCUGAUGUGAAAGCCUUCGGCUUAACCGUAGUAGUGCAUUGGAAACUGGGAGACUUGGGGGCAGAAGGGGGGAGUGGAACUCCAUGUGUAGCGGUGAAAUGCGUAGAUAUAUGGAAGAACACCAGUGGCGAAAGCGGCUCUCUGGUCUGUAACUGACGCUGAGGUUCGAAAGCGUGGGUAGCAAACAGGAUUAGAUACCCCGGGUAGUC